rnacentral:pre_miRNA from 1 species
AUCAUACUCCCUCUGUCCCAAAAUUCUUGUCUUAGAUUUGUCUAGGUAUGAAUGUAUAUAGUCAUAUUUUAGUAUUUAGAUAUAUCUAUUUUUAGACAAAGCUAAGACAAUAAUUUUGAAACGAAGGGAGUACUAU